rnacentral:rRNA from 1 species
AUGUUGCUGGAAAAACUAGUGCCUCCAAGCACAUUGAGGAAGUUGGAGAUAAGUGGUUAUAACAGUGUCAUCUUUCCAGGCUGGGUAGUGGGCCAACUACCAAACCUGAACUCACUGGUUCUCAGAGAUAUGGCAAACCUGGAAGAGUGGGACACUUCAUACUCCACCGGUGAGGAGAACAUGUUAACCAGAGUAGAGAUACUUGGUUGCCCAAUGCUAAGGAUGAAAGGGCCUCUGCCUAAAUCUGAAAUGUGGGAGAUAAGAUGCAGUGAUAAUGUGUUAUCAUCAUGGGAUGAGUGCAUUGUGUCACACACUAAUGCUUCUUCCUCUUCAUGUACUACUUGGUUGUCAGUUAGAGACUGCAAGGUGCCUCUGCAUGAGUGGAGGUUGCUUCAACACUUCUCAGGACUUCUUUAUUUGGAUAUUGACAAUUGUGGCGAUCUAACCGGCUCACCAGAUAUCAUCCAACUACUAUCCUCUUUGGAGAAACUACGCCUAGAAGACGAACACAUAGAAGAACUGCCGAAAUGGUUGGUUGAGCUCCCAUCUUUGAAGAAUCUGAUUAUACGGAAUAGCAAUGGUGUAAAGGAGUUGAACGAGAACAUGAGGCAACUCACAAAGCUUGAAUCACUUGAACUUGAGUCCUGCAAAAGCAUAUCUGUAGUGCCACAUUGGCUAGGCGAAUUGACCUCUCUCAAGAAACUUUGGAUAUCUAACAAUAGAGGCUUGAGGUCUUUGCCGGCAAGCAUACGACAACUCACCAGCCUCCAGAAAAUAGUACUUAUUAACUGUGAUGCAUUAGAGCACGUGGUUGCUGAAUCAGAGGGGGGAAAGAUGAAGCUAACUGACAACCAACAAAGGGAAUCUGCCCUGCCCACCUCUCUAAAGAGUCUUUAUCUGAGUGGAUGUGAUGGUAUCAAGUCUUUUCCUGAGGGAAUACAUCAACUCACUAACCUCAAACACCUAGAAAUAAUUAGCUGCCCUCGACUAAAGAAAUGGUGUGAAUUAGAGGAGACCAAGACCUUUCUGGCUCGCAUAGAAAUGAAGACGAUUGCGAUCCACUAA